rnacentral:lncRNA from 1 species
CACAGGAUCGUCCAUGCUGAUCCUGAACAAUGGGUUUGGGACUCUCUGGGGUCCUUUCUUGAGGUAGGCUGAUUUACUUUUUUCUUCCUUUCGCUUCUUCACUUAGUUCAUUCUUUAGCUUUCAUAUUGACUUCCUGGUCGCUCUUGCAGAUUGGACACCAACUCAUCACCAAUAUCGAGGCGAUGAAUAAUGCAAAGAAGGAAGCAGUCCAGAUGGAGGAAGGUCACUAGGCUGAGCCUGCCCGUCUUAUGGAGAAGGUCGCCGAAGUCACGAGUCUCCAAGAGGUGCUCCAGAAGGAGGAACAAACUUUGAUGGAUCUGAAGGCUUCUCUGGAGGAGGAA